rnacentral:lncRNA from 7 species
AGGUAUGUUGUUGCGCUAGAACUCUUCAAUGCAGUUUCCGGAAGAACAUAGCCUCAUUUUCCAAUAGGGCAAUGAUUAAUGAGUAUGACGAACUAAUGGACACAUGUCAUUGGAUUAUGGCAUUGCUGGUUGCAUAACAAACAAUACGGGUAAUUCAUAUUGUGUUCGUCUUGUCUGAUUGCAGAAACUAGAUUUUCUGCAUCUAUUUGGUAUCCCGGGGGC